AAGAUGUUAGUAAAUAAAUUACAUUAUUUUGUCAAGAUAAAAUUAUAAGUUAAUCCUUAUACAUCUUA
rnacentral:tRNA from 1 species